rnacentral:rRNA from 1 species
AGAGUUUGAUCCUGGCUCAGAUUGAACGUUGGCGGCAUGGAUUAGGCAUGCAAGUCGAGCGAGAACCAGUUCUUCGGAGCUGGGGAAAGCGGCGAACGGCGUAGUAAUGCGUAGGAACGUACCCCUCGGUCGGGAAUAACCACGGGAAACUGUGGAUAAUGCCCGAUGAUCUCUGCGGAGCAAAGGUGAGAUUCCGCCGGGGGAGCGGCUUACGUGAUAUUAGCUUGAUGGUGGGGGUAAUGGCCCACCAUGGCAAUGAUGUCUAGGGGCUGUGAGAGCAUGGCCCCCACGACCGGAACUGAGACACUGUCUGGACACCUACGGGUGGCUGCAGUCGAGAAUCUUCGGCAAUGCGCGAAAGCGUGACCGAGCGAUGCCGCGUGGUGGAUGAAGGCCCUUGGGUUGUAAACACCUGUCAGAGGGGAUGAAAUCCUGGUUGGCUAUCCUUCUAGGUUGACAAAGCCUCAAAGGAAGCACGGGCUAAGUACGUGCCAGCAGCCGCGGUAAU